rnacentral:rRNA from 1 species
CUGGCGGGUGCUUACCAUGCAGUCGAACGAUGAUGCCCAGCUUGCUGGGCGGAUUAGUGGCGAACGGGUGAGUAAUACGUGAGUAACCUGCCCUUGACUCUGGGAUAAGCCUGGGAAACUGGGUCUAAUACUGGAUACUACCGUCCACCGCAUGGUGGGUGGUGGAAAGGGUUUUACUGGUUUUGGAUGGGCUCACGGCCUAUCAGCUUGUUGGUGGGGUAAUGGCUCACCAAGGCGACGACGGGUAGCCGGCCUGAGAGGGUGACCGGCCACACUGGGACUGAGACACGGCCCAGACUCCUACGGGAGGCAGCAGUGGGGAAUAUUGCACAAUGGGCGGAAGCCUGAUGCAGCGACGCCGCGUGAGGGAUGACGGCCUUCGGGUUGUAAACCUCUUUCAGUAGGGAAGAAGCGAGAGUGACGGUACCUGCAGAAGAAGCGCCGGCUAACUACGUGCCAGCAGCCGCGGUAAUACGUAGGGCGCAAGCGUUGUCCGGAAUUAUUGGGCGUAAAGAGCUCGUAGGCGGUUUGUCGCGUCUGCUGUGAAAGCCCGGGGCUCAACCCCGGGUCUGCAGUGGGUACGGGCAGACUAGAGUGCAGUAGGGGAGACUGGAAUUCCUGGUGUAGCGGUGAAAUGCGCAGAUAUCAGGAGGAACACCGAUGGCGAAGGCAGGUCUCUGGGCUGUUACUGACGCUGAGGAGCGAAAGCAUGGGGAGCGAACAGGAUUAGAUACCCUGGUAGUCCAUGCCGUAAACGUUGGGCACUAGGUGUGGGGGACAUUCCACGUUUUCCGCGCCGUAGCUAACGCAUUAAGUGCCCCGCCUGGGGAGUACGGCCGCAAGGCUAAAACUCAAAGGAAUUGACGGGGGCCCGCACAAGCGGCGGAGCAUGCGGAUUAAUUCGAUGCAACGCGAAGAACCUUACCAAGGCUUGACAUUCACCGGACCGCCCCAGAGAUGGGGUUUCCCUUCGGGGCUGGUGGACAGGUGGUGCAUGGUUGUCGUCAGCUCGUGUCGUGAGAUGUUGGGUUAAGUCCCGCAACGAGCGCAACCCUCGUUCUAUGUUGCCAGCACGUGAUGGUGGGGACUCAUAGGAGACUGCCGGGGUCAACUCGGAGGAAGGUGGGGAUGACGUCAAAUCAUCAUGCCCCUUAUGUCUUGGGCUUCACGCAUGCUACAAUGGCCGGUACAAAGGGUUGCGAUACUGUGAGGUGGAGCUAAUCCCAAAAAGCCGGUCUCAGUUCGGAUUGAGGUCUGCAACUCGACCUCAUGAAGUCGGAGUCGCUAGUAAUCGCAGAUCAGCAACGCUGCGGUGAAUACGUUCCCGGGCCUUGUACACACCGCCCGUCAAGUCACGAAAGUUGGUAACACCCGAAGCCGGUGGCCUAACCCCUUGUGGGAGGGAGCCGUCGAAGGGGGAAUCCUG